rnacentral:rRNA from 1 species
AUUGAACGCUGGCGGCAGGCUUAACACAUGCAAGUCGAGCGGGGACUUCGGUCCUAGCGGCGAACGGGUGAGGAAUGCUUGGGAAUCUGCCCAGUAGCGGGGGAUAACGUUUCGAAAGGAACGCUAAUACCGCAUACGCCCUACGGGGGAAAGGGGGGGAUCUUCGGACCUCUCACUAUUGGAUGAGCCCAAGUCGGAUUAGCUAGUGGGUGGGGUAAAGGCCUACCAAGGCGACGUUCCGGAGCUGGUCUGAGAGGAUGAUCAGCCACACUGGAACUGAGACACGGUCCAGACUCCUACGGGAGGCAGCAGUGGGGAAUAUUGGACAAUGGGCGAAAGCCUGAUCCAGCCAUGCCGCGUGUGUGAAGAAGGCCUUCGGGUUGUAAAGCACUUUAAGCGAGGAGGAAUGGCUGAGGGUUAAUAACCUUCAGCAGUGACGUUACUCGCAGAAUAAGCACCGGCUAACUCUGUGCCAGCCGCCGCCGCGGUAA